rnacentral:rRNA from 1 species
UACAGAGGGGGCAAGCGUUAUUCGGAAUUAUUGGGCGUAAAGGGCGCGUAGGCGGCCUGGCAAGUGGAUGGUGAAAUCCCCCGGCUUAACCGAGGAACUGCCAUCCAGACUGCUUGGCUUGAGACCGGGAGAGGUGAGUGGAAUUCCCAGUGUAGCGGUGAAAUGCGUAGAUAUUGGGAGGAACACCAGUGGCGAAGGCGGCUCACUGGACCGGUACUGACGCUGAGGCGCGAAAGCGUGGGGAGCAAACGGG